CGAAGCCGGGAGCAGCGAUGGGAGCAGCACCCCUGUAGUCCUGGCCGUAAACGAUGAACACUAGGUGUCGGGGGAAUCGACCCCCUCGGUGUCGUAGCCAACGCGUUAAGUGUUCCGCCUGGGGAGUACGCACGCAAGUGUGAAACUCAAAGGAAUUGACGGGGGCCCGCACAAGCGGUGGAGUAUGUGGUUUAAUUCGAUGCAACGCGAAGAACCUUACCAGGGUUUGACAUCCUGCGAAUCCCUUGGAAACGAGGGAGUGCCUUCGGGAGCGCAGAGACAGGUGGUGCAUGGCUGUCGUCAGCUCGUGUCGUGAGAUGUUGGGUUAAGUCCCGCAACGAGCGCAACCCACGUCGUUAGUUGCCAGCAUUCAGUUGGGCACUCUAGCGAGACCGCCGGUGAUAAACCGGAGGAAGGUGUGGAUGACGUCAAGUCAUCAUGCCCCUUACAUCCUGGGCUACACACGUACUACAAUGCUACGGACAAAGGGCAGCGAGCUCGCGAGAGUAAGCAAAUCCCAUAAAGCGUGGCUCAGUUCAGAUCGUAGGCUGCAACUCGCCUACGUGAAGGAGGAAUCGCUAGUAAUCGCAGGUCAGCAUACUG
rnacentral:rRNA from 1 species